CAGUCGCCACGGGAAUACGAAGGGGGCUAGCGUUGCUCGGAAUGAUUGGGCGUAAAGGGCGCGUAGGCGGAUGGCACAGUCAGAUGUGAAAUUCCCGGGCUUAACCUGGGGGCUGCAUUUGAUACGUGUUGUCUAGAGUGAGGAAGAGGGUCGUGGAAUUCCCAGUGUAGAGGUGAAAUUCGUAGAUAUUGGGAAGAACACCGGUGGCGAAGGCGGCGACCUGGUCCUUGACUGACGCUGAGGCGCGAAAGCGUGGGGAGCAAACAGGAUUAGAUACCCCGGUAGUCCCUGUCUCUUAUAC
rnacentral:rRNA from 1 species